rnacentral:rRNA from 1 species
GAUGAACGCUGGCGGCAUGCCUAAGACAUGCAAGUCGAACGAGAUGGCCCACUGAAUUUGAUAGAAGCUUUGAGAGCUUGCUCGAAAAGUGGAAAGAGAAGGACGUGGAACUUCCAUCUAGUGGCAAACGGGUGAGUAACACGUGGGUUACCUACCUCUUAGAUGGGGAUACCAAUUGGAAACGAUUGUUAAUACCGAAUGUGAUCUACGGAUUAAAGGAGCCUUUAAAGCUUCGCUAAGAGAUGGGCCUGCGGUGCAUUAGAUAGUUGGUGGGGUAAGAGCCUACCAAGUCAACGAUGCAUAGCUGAACUGAGAGGUUGAUCGGCCACACUGGGACUGAGACACGGCCCAG